rnacentral:rRNA from 1 species
UACGUAGGGGGGCUAGCGUUGUCCGGAAUCAUUGGGCGUAAAGAGCGUGUAGGCGGUCCGGUAAGUCCGCUGUGAAAGUCGGGGGCUCAACCCUCGAAUGCCGGUGGAUACUGUCGGGCUAGAGUGCGGAAGAGGCGAGUGGAAUUCCUGGUGUAGCGGUGAAAUGCGCAGAUAUCAGGAGGAACACCAGUGGCGAAGGCGGCACUCUGGGCCGGUACUGACGCUGAGGAGCGAAAGCGUGGGGAGCGAACAGG